ACAAAUUGGCAUAUACUAUAAUGUCACUGUGCCAAUCCAAACAGUGCACUUUUAAUGUCCCGAGGGCUGCCUUCGCUCCAGAUGUGUUCAGAACUCCUAGUAAUAUAACACAGGCAAAAACCAUAUUUACACGAAGCAGUAUUUGGGAUAUCCUUUUCCAAUUAUCUGGAAUGAGAUAAUAGACUCCUAAUUGGAAGCACGAGGGUUGGGGGAGGCAGGUCAGUGGCUCCUCCCUCGUGAAUGCUUUUAUUAGUAAAGACGGAAACAUUCUGUAAAGGAGUAAGAGAAAUCUACUUUGCCACAGUUAAUCAUCUGAACGCCUAGAAACUUCAAAUUUGCCCUAUGGCCACCUCUAAUUAACUAGCUGGUUUUUAAAAGCCUGAUCUUGUCUUUUUCCUAUGAAUCAUAGGAAUUAAGAGAGGACUGCGGCUGGGAGGCAGGAGAUUCCAAAACCACGCUGGCAAGAGGACAGACAGCACUGAAGAGUAUACAGGUCGAGGACCUUCCACAGGAUCUUCCAAAGAAAAAACGAAGCUGCCUGGCCAAGGUUACAUUUUUCCCUGCCAGGAAGAUUUGAAAUGUGGUCCUUGUGCUAUGCUGGCUCUGUCCUAGUGGUCCUGUUAUUGUAAAGAAUGUCACAUCUGUUAAGCCAGACACAGUAAACUGUGCCCCACCUGUCAAGCACAGGACAUGGCAAAUCUUCCACACCACAGAAUUCGAUGCAGUGGUGUGUCAGGCUUCAGCACACAAGUCAGACAGAUGUGUUGACCUCAUAAAACUAUCCCUUGUACAUGUGUGAACUGCUCUAAAGUUGGAUCCUCACCCCCUACCUCCCAAAUCCAGUGACACCACUACGUUUUGAAGUUUGUGCCAUGAGUUGAGUGCCAGACCUGAGUCUGGACAGGUGAACAAUAGUACAGCAGUUUGGUAGUGGGACAUUUUCAUAUCUGUCCCUAUCUUACCCCAUGUGCCCCAGUCCCAGGAAUUAGCCCAUCCCUUGUAUCUCAGCAGGUCUGUUUGUCCCUCAUCCUUGCUCCCUGGGAUGAAGUGGCUGUAAAUCCCCGGCCACAAUCAGACCAACUGUCAGCCUUGACAGAUGCCCAGCCAGGGCAGCACAGCAGUCUCCCUGAUUCCGCUCAUGCUCUGGAGCCUGCCUAUCUGUCUCUUGACCAUAGCUAGGGUCUCCACCUCUCUGACUCCUUGUCUUACCCAUAAAACUCCAGUUUCCCCAGUCUUUCAGGUCUUCCCUAUUGGUCAGGGCCACCCCACUAUGUUAGGCCAUAGAUACAUUAUUGACUUUUUCAUAGAAGCAUUCUGGACAGGACACUAGGGUCUGCAGUAUAUAUAUGGCAUAUUUUGCUUAAAGUUACAAAUAAAACAAACUGAGAGACCAAUCCAAAAUUGAACAUAAUCUUUUUUUCUUGGCUUUUUUUGUUGUUGUUGCUUAUAUCCAAAGCAUUCCAUAUAUAAUGUGAGACUGAAAAUAUAUGUGAAUGCCCCUCCUUUAAGAAGUCUAGAACUUAGUAGGGAAAAGAAAAAACAUAGAAAUAUCUAUAAGUUCUACUAAGUGCAGGCUACCCCAUGCAACUCAGACUGCAGAGAACAGCUCCAUCUGCAACCGUACAAGAAAAACCUUGUGCAUGGGGGCAGCUGCAGCCAAGUCAGACGGAUGGUCAGGACUGCUAAGGGGAUGGACUCAGGCCACGAGUCCUCAGUAGGACAAAGUAUGUACUUCCAGCCCUCCACAUUAAGUCAUGAGCAAAUCAGCCUCCUGCUCUUUCUAGUGAGCCGGCCUUCUAUCUGAGACAACACAGAAUCAUCCAGCAUUGUGAAAAAGACAUCAUCUAGAGGGUCAUCAUCUUCAUGACAUCUCAUAUAUACCUCUGUCCAACUUUGUUUUCAACAAUUUGUAUAAACCAUAUAAUUCAUACAUUUUUUAUAUUUUAAAAAUAUGUAUUCCGGAAGCCGCGGCCGGUCGCCCAGCGGGGGCAGUCGGAACCCCGCCAGACCGUCGGGAUUCAGCUCCCGUUGCCGGCGCAAUGCCUCUGUUCACUGCCAACCCAUUCGAGCAAGAUGUGGUAUUGCUUCCGUAGGAAGCAGCCACAACUAUCAUUAUGUACAAUAGAGCACACACUAGAGGUUUCCAAGGAGAGAAGAUCAACAUGGAGGACGUGGGGGGAAGACGGAGUGACUGGUGUUAAAAGGAGCCAAUACUGGCAAUCCCCAGAGAAGCACUGCCAACAUGAAGUUCAGUCCCUUUGUGACUUCCGACUACAGCAAGCAAGCCUGUGAGAGGAACUUAAGUGCACCUUCUCACAUUCGGAGGAAGCUCGUGUUUCCCAAGACAGAAGGAUAAUGCUUUGGCCUAUCCACCCACAGUCGGAGGAUGAUGAAGUUCAGGUUAUACGAGGACAGUGCAAAGGUCGGCAGGCUGGCACAGCGGUCCAGGUGUGAAGGAAGAAGCAUGAAUCUCCUCGGUUGAUUGGGAGAAAAGGCUAAUGGCACAACUGUCCCUGUGAGCAUCCACCCAGCAAGGUUGUCAUCCACCAGGCUAAGGCUGGAAAAAGUCUGCAGACCUGCAACGGAAAGCCCAGUCUAGCCCAAUAGGAAAGGAAAAGGGCAAAUACUGAAAAGAUUCGGGAGCAGAGGCAGUUCAUAUACAAGCCUACUUUAAAGACAGCUUAAAUAAGGAAGGGGGGGGUGCUAUUUGCUCAGAUUCAGUACCAGACUUGUGUGACCUUUGGUGCAGUCAUUGCUAGGCUGUUUUAUGCCCUAACCCCACUGCUUGUUGCUGUACCUUUUCUUCUUUGCUCAAGCCAGGCACUCUUUCUUUCUUUCUUUCUUUCUUUCUUUCUUUCUUUCUUUCUUUCUUUCUUUCUUUUUUUGUCUAAUAGUCUUUGCUCUGGGCUGUUUAUCAUUCAUUGCUAAGCGUUUGUGGGAGCUCGUGGCAGAGGAGGCUACCUUGUUGAGGCAGAGUCUCUUGUUUCGACCUCCCUGUGCGCUCGUCAGUGAGCCUCUGGCAUCCUGGGACAGUCUUCCAAAGGCGUGCUGUGCUGGGCUGUGUACCACCGCGUCUGGCUCUCGGGCUUGCGAAGCGACUGUUUUCAUCUGCCAAGCCACCUUCCUGGCUAUUAUUUGAUUUUAAUCUUGAGAUGGGGUCAUAAUAUGUGUCUUGGUCUGCCCUGGAACUCUCAUGUAGCCUUGCCUGGCCUUGAACUCGAGGUCUUGCCUUAGCUUUCUGAAUGCUGGGCACUUGGGUGUAAGCUGUCAUGCCUAACUAUAAAUAUUUGUGUUUUCAUUUGCCAUCCCCACCCAUUCUUUUUUUUUUAAAUAUUUAUUUAUUUUAUGAGGGCAGUGUAGCUGUCUUCAGACACACCAGAGGAGGGCAUCGGAUCUCGUUACAGAUGGCUGUGAGCCACCAUGUGGUUGCUGGGAAUUGAACUCAAGACUUUUGGAAGAGCAGUCAGUGCUCUUAACUGCUGAGCCAUGCCUCCAGCCCAUCUCCACCCAUUCUUAAAGACACAUGUGUUUGUACCCCAGAAAGCCAGAUUUUAAUUUUACUCCAGAAAAAUGUCUCCUGAGAAGGACAAUUGAUGUGUGACCGUCCCUCUUUUUGCUUUUGUCGUUACAAUACCCUGACAAAAGGCAACUCAGGCCUUUCAAUCAAUAUUACUGCAACAGAAAUUUGUAAGGAACCUCGAUGUAAAAAUAGAAGCAUUCCGAUAAUACAAAUGGAUUAUGUACAUUCAAAUUUAUAACAUUUACUUAAUUUAGUCCUUGAACAUAUGCUUGUUAUAAUCUUUAAAAAAAUUGGUUAUGGAUGAAGAUGGCUUUAUUUAUUUAUUAGUAAUGUAAUUUUCCCAUUCAUUGUUUUGCUUGCAUGGUUCCAGAAAUACCAGUACUUUCAGAUAGUUUGAAAGUUUAAUUAAUAUCUUUGAUGUUUUCUUUAAAAUGUGAACUACUUUGAGCAUAAAGUAUAAAACACAACAUGAACUCCAUCCCUGCCAGCCAACUCUGUCAGUUCCUAAUACCAUGACACAUUUGAUCUUUUUAAAGAACAUUCAAGAUGCCGUUGAAUAUAUUCUUAGCAGCUGUCUUUUGAUAAAUGUGUAUAUUACAUAACAUAGAAGUAUAUAGUGAUAUAUACAUUUUUGUGUGUUUUCAAAAAAAAAAUAUGUAUUCCGUUAAGAGCUGUAUGGUAAGAGAUACAACUCCUUCGUUUGUCUUUAAAUAAAAGUGAAAUGAAGUGGGAGGGGGCACCCCACUUAAUAACUACACUUAGCAGUAAUUGCGACUAGCUCUUGAGUCCUCGUGGACUUCAAGCACCAUCACCCAGCAGUUUCAAGAGUGAGAAGAACCUACUUAAAAGUCUUGCCUCACAGCCCAUUAGGAGUGUCUCACCUCAUUGAGAUGUUAUCUUACAACACCUUCAACACCAAGCAUCGCAGGCUCUCGGCCCUUCUUUAGUCAAGGAAGAGGCAUGCUGCAUACGGACAAACACGGAGUCCUCCCGAGGCAGUGUGCUAAUUCUAUCAAGUUCGGAGCUCAGCACACACACUCAGUGGCUAGACUUCUCGGGUGGAAUGGUCUUUGUCUUUCCCGCCUCCCUGACAUAUAUGUAUGUGCUCAAGAAGGUACGACAGGCCUUAAGGCCAUAUCCCUCAUUCUGUAAUAACGGUUCCCUCUUCUCAGGCACAACUAAAAUGGCACCCUGCUGACUGGAACCCACACAAUUUGAAAUAGAGCUUAUGUAGCCCUCAAAUUCCAAAUUUUGAUAUUCUGAGAGAUUCUUUUUGUGUCAAUAAGGGCCCAUGAACAUGCCGUAUACCUGUAUAUACAGACCAGUAAGAACUGGGGUAGAGAAGUUAUUCGCUGUAGAUUUGAAGAGCUUCUGGGUAAGAGUACAAAAUAAUUCCAUAUAAAGCACAGGUAGUUUGCAUGCAACCACCAGGUAAGAGGCAGACAGCCUGAAAUUCCUAUUUUACCACUAAUUUCCUCUUAAUAUGUGACUUGUGUUAACGAUGUUCAGUCUUUCAGCUUCUGCUUCCUAUUUCCACCUGGAUGAUUAGUGGUGGGACACAGAGGUUUACAGGCACGAACUAAAUCCCAGAGAGAAUGGACUCCAAAACUGGGCAGGAGGGUUGUUUUUAAAACAAGAGUGCAGUGUGCACUUCCUACAAAACUCAUGCCGUAUGCAGCCCUCUGCCUGAUGUCCAGGGGAACUGGUUCUGGGAUGCCUCACAUAGCCAAACUCAAGGAUGUUCAAAUUCCCUCUAAAAAAAAGGGCUGCUCAUAUCUGCAGACAGCCUGCCUCAAGCCUCCUCUACCUCGAGUCACCUCUAGGUUGCUUAGAACCUCUACGGGCGUGUAAAUGCUGUGUCAAGGGUUAGUACAGAGUGUUAUUUUCAGAAUGCUAGGAAGGGAGAAAGCUGACCCGGGUUCAGCAGAGACUCAAACCGCUGCCCUAGUUUUAAUGUGAGCUGGUUGAAUCCACAGACAGACAGAUCUAUAGGUCAGACACAGAACCCACGGACAUGGGAGCUGAUGGGUAUGGCAGAUCAGUUCAUUUUAAUGUUUUAGUUGUACUUCCAAUGGCAGUCAGACGUGGUAGACCCAUAGGCAUUGGGAUUACAGGUAGUUUUGAGCUACCUGAUACGGGUGUUGGGAAUUGAACCCAGGUCCUCGGCAAGAGACUGCUCUUAAGCCACCUUUCCAACUCCUCUAGCACAUUUUAUGUUAUGUUAACAGUAACAAUUCAUUGAGCCAUAGUACAUCAGAAUGUGUGCAGGCCUGAGCACCAUCCCUGCCCCGUGAUGGGAAUGCAUUGUUUUUGUGUUUCCAACAGAAAGCCCUUGGAACCUGAAAUUUGUCCACUGAAAAAGCAGAACAAAGUGCGUGUGGUAUUUCUGCUAUAAUACGACACACGGCCCUGGAAAACCUCACAUCUUACCAAAUUGCACUUUAAAACAGCAGAGUUUAUGGUAGAAAACACAGUUGGGUGGGCUACUCAGGCUCCGCGGACUAUUAUAAGCAGUACUAACCAGAAGAUAAUUGCGACCCAGGGAGGCGACUUAGAUGGCCCAGGCAAGCAGCAUGCUGUGGCUGCUCUUUAGAGAUACUGAAUGUACGAAUGACAACAGAGUAGCAAUACUGACUCACAGACAGAAUCAAGUUCUGAGCCAGAAGACUGGUAUCCAGAGGCGAGAAAGGGAGGGGGACUUCUGCCCAGACACUGGGCUGGGGGCAAUGACUCUGGGGAACAAGCUAUGUGUACAGGGCUCUUUAAUUUUCUUAGGAAGGAGUCAAAAGGGCUGCUGCCUGUGAGGACUCCCUCCUUCCUUACAGGAGGCUGAAAUCUACUACUAUACCUGUCCUUGCCAGAAACAAUCAGGUUCCCUGCAAAUAACUGGCACCAAGGUCCCCUCCCACUUCCCUGGUUUGAAGUUGAGCUAACUGAUUUCAAGAACCAUGGGGCAGAUCACACAGUGAUCUAUUCUCUGAGCCUAACAGCUGAAGACUCUUUCCGGCUCUAUGCUGGGCUAGAACAGUCUCCUUGCUAAGUCUGCUUUUUCUAAGAAGCCUGAGAGAAGAGAGGCAGUAGUCCGUGAGGAAAAUCCUCUCAACAUGCUCCCCUCCCCUAACUCAGGUAAAUUCUUGGUUAUUGCUUAACUAGGAGAAUACUUUUGAGUUUCUGUUUGUUUAUUUUUGUUCCUUUCACAACACACUGCAUAGCCCUGGCUGUCUUGAAACUCACUGUGUAGCCCAGGCUGGCUCAAACUCAUAGAGAUCUGCUUGGCUCUGCCCUCCGGAGGGCUGGGAUGAAAGGUGCGUACCACCACUGCCUGGCUGAGAAAACAUGCUUAAACUUUCUCUAAGUACAUUAUCCCCAAGGGUCUGAAUUCUAGAUAGCCCAGUCCAAAGGCAGUGAUGGGAACUACCUGGAUAUUUUUAAAUGUUAUUACUAUAUAUAAAUGUGGAAAGAUAAGUAUACCGAGUGGCAUAUUUUCUUUUAUCCAACAUGUAAAAUCUUAUCAUUGCCACAUGUGGCCAAUCUGAAACUUGAACUCGUGUCUUGUAGAGUAAGUGGUGCUCCACCACUGAAUUAUACGCCUUCUCACCCCCCCAGCCAUCGAGAGGCUGUUUUUUUACAGUAAGCCUUUCAAAUCCAAAGUUCCUGCAUACUUAGAGUGCGCGCCAGCUCAGCCUAGCCACAUCCCAGGAACUCCGCAGCUCCAAGUGCCCGUGGCUACUGUGCUGCACGACACAAAAGUCAAAGGCUCGGCAGACACUGAAGUGUCAUAGGUUGAAAUUUACCUGAUUCAGGAUUCACUCUGAAAAACAAAAUGUUUUCAAGUUCAUUACCGUAUUCAUGAAAUGGUAGUUUUGACUGGUCAGUUUUACUGCAAACCUGCUGACCUUCAUUUAUCCAGAACUCCCAGUUAACUGAAUCACUCAAUUUUCUAACUAUAUUAAGUGUUUUUAUUAUUAUUAUUUUUUCAAAUUUGAGUGCUCUGGCUGCAUGUACACUUGCAUGCCAGAAGAGGGCAUCAGAUCUCUUUAGAGAUAUAGAUGGUCAUGAGCCACCAUGUAUGUGGUUGCUGGGAAUUAAGCUCAGGUCCUCUGAAGAGCAGCCAGUGCUCUUAACAUCUGAGCCGUCUCUCCGGCCCCUCAGUGUUUGUUUGUGUUUUUUUUUUUUUUAAAUGCAUGUUUAUUGAAUAUCAUCUACAAACUACCAGUCUGCCAAAAGCAUAAAAUCAAAUUGGUUUGAUAUAUUACUAAUUCUUUUAAUUGUGGUCAAUAUAUAAUACAAUUUGCCACUUUAAAAACAUACAACUGGGUGGCAUUAUUAAACUCAUGUUGCUGUAUGUCCAACUAUCAGCAUGCUUCCAAAACCUUCCCAUCUCCGGAGAGACUCCAAUCUUUGUGUCUAACUCUCCAUGUUCUCCCACUCCCAGCCUCUAACUCUCGCUGCAUACUCUUUCUCUACAGAUCUGCCUCUUCUGGCUGUUCCCAGCAAGUGUGGUCACCUGCCGUCUUGUGGCUAGUUUAUUUCAGUUCCUGUCUUCAGAACUGAUCUCCACUACUGCAGACAGGAGAGCUGCAUUCCAUUGACAGACGAGUCGAGUCGUGCCCCUCUGUAGACAUGCGAAAUGUUUCGUUUGCAAGUUCAUCUAGCAAUGGGGUUUCAUGACAGCUUUUGUUUCAAUAAAUAAUGAGUUGUUGGGUUUUUAGGGGGCAGGUGGCAAAUUUUAAGGAAAAAAGCAACCAUGAUGUUGACGCUUCGAUAGAACCCCAGAAGCCAGGCCUCCCAAUCUUAUUGACUGGGAAAGUGAUAAAGUCAAGCCAACAUAAUACCAUGACAUUGACUGUUUUGUUACAGUGCUGGGUCACAAGGACUGAACUCUCUCCAGAUAUUGGUUGAGGCCAUCUUGAUGGCUACUUUCCACUAACAACUUGACUGGAUUUAGAGUCAUGUGGGACUCGAACCUCUGGGUGCGUUUCUAAGGGCAUUUCAGAGACUUCAGAAGGAAACAUCUGCCUGGAAUGUGGGUGGCAUCACCCAUGUACUGGGGCCCUAGACUGAGUAAAAGGGGGAAGUGAGAAAGGAAGACAAAUGCCAGUAUUCAUCCCCCCAUCCUGCACCCAGCCCUCUUACCCUGGCUACAGACACAAUGUGUGACCGGCUGCCAUAUCCUUCCCACGAGAUGGACACAAAGUGAGCCAAACAGAAUAAACCCUUCCUUAUGCUGCUUCCUACAACACAUUUCAUAACAGCAGUAAGAAAGUAACCAUGUUUGCUCAAGUGUCUCAGAGGAGUCUGCCUUCCCCUUUCCAAAGCAGGAUUACAUGUGGGUUCAGAAAAUGCCCCACAAAGCUCUAAGCACACAGUAGUGCCCUCUCUAUUCAGACUCUUCAUUCCCCAACAAUAAAGUUGAAGUUUUCUUAAAAUGCUCCUGCAGGGACACAUUUAAGGCACACAACUUCACUGCAAUUGCAAGUUACAGAGAAAUCGCUGAAAGACCGAGUUCUAACGCUAAUGUUUAUUAUUCUCAACAUUUGCUGGAUGGUCAAUUCUUUUUUUUUCACUUAGCUCCGUUGUUGUUGUUGUUCUCAAAGAAAAAUAAAGAAAUUCUCAUUCACUUUAUAAGUUUUAUUAUGGUAAAACAAGAUGUGGAGCAAACAUUUCAGAGUACCAAACAGAGUUAAUUAAUUCCAGUAUAACUUCCUCGCAGAAGGCCAGUGCUUGCAAGCAGAUGUGCCAGCUAAAUUAUUUCAGGGCAAUCUUAACACAUUAUUGAAAGUAACCUCCCAUUCCUCAGAAAAAGUCUGGCAUGCAGCUUGCAAUCUACAGCAACAGCUCAGACACAUGGAAAAGUAGAAGUUAACAUCUCCUGAUUUGUGCGCUCCACUGACUUCCAAACCUUGCAUCUAAAUAGCAAAAGAAGAAGAAGAAAAAAAAAGGCCCAUAAUGGUGUGUUUACCAUACUAUUAGCCAUUAAAAAUAAAAGACGAGGAAGCAAUUUUGAAUGCAGUUACCACAAAAGGGUUUGGGGAACUUUCACCUUGUUUCUCAUAAACUAGAAAGUGUACUUCGUGUUCCUUUUGAUUUCUAAUGACCAAAGCAUUUAAACUAUUAACAUUUCAUUUCCAACACGUGUCUGCUUCAGAGCUGGCAGCUGGACUAUUUAUUUUGCUAGCUGGUGAUAGAAUUAAAUGCAGAGACUUUGAAAAUAUUUACAAGCUUUCCCCUAACCUUCUGUAUACUUUCCAAAUUAGACUCCUUUGAUUUUUAUUAGCUAAAGGUUUACGUACUACAAUACUAACACUGUUACCUUCAGGAUACAUUGUUUAUGGGUCAGGUGUGGUUUAAAACCUUCUCUUCCCCGGGAUACCCAAGAGGCUGAGGACAAGAAGGUUGAACGAGUUCACUCCGGAUCUGCAGGUUUUCUUUGUGAAUCGAACAAGAAGUAAGGCCACACAAGAUAAGGGUGCAGUCAGGAAACCAGGUGUGAAAAUAGUUCUAGUCUCCUCCAAAACCACAGGCUUCCAAUGUGGGCUCCCCAGUGCUUUAUAAUUACAGGCACUAGCCCAGGGAACUAGCAUCCUGACAUAGUAGACAAGGCAUGAGCUCAGACUUCAAACCAGUCUGGGUUGAAACCAGGACUCCUUUGGUUAUUAGGUGCGUAACCCUACUCAGACACUUCACUAGACCUACGGAACAGAAAUAGGUCGAUAUUCACCCCGUAGCUUUCUUGCGAGUAUUUGUAUUUAACAGGCCUAUUAGAUCACUGGUUUGGAUGAAGUCAAGGAUGCUCGAUCCCAGCUGGGACUGUAGCUCAGUGGAAGAGUGCUUGCCUCGCACGUGUAAGGCCUCAGGUUCAAUCCUAGCACCACACACAGAUCUUCUAUCAUAAGUCUUUCUUGGCACCUUCAGUUUACAGUGCCACUUGUCACAUGUUCAUUUACUCAACCUAAGCCUGUCCGUUAGCACUAUGGAAGAGAAUGAGGUAGCAGAGAGAUGGCUCUGUGGAUGCAUGAUUGUGUCCAAAUGCACUAAACUGUAUGCUUUAUAUGAAUAAUAACCUUUUAUGUGUGGAAAAAAUAGUGAAUUGUAAAAAAAAAAAAAAUCGUAAUCCCUUUCUCUGAGGAACACAGCAAGUUCCUGGAGGCAGGGUACACAGAUGUUAAAAUGAGGCUCUCCAACAUGGUGAACAUUUAAGUUUCUGCUCUACAUGUCAUGGGGUAGGUUACCAAGGAAGGGACCUAUGCCUCAGAUAGUGCAGAAGAGUUCAUGAGGAAAGAAGACAUUGGAAUGACGGUGGGUCUCUCAGAAUGUCCGGGGUAGAGUAAACAAUGUCCAGGAGGGAGUGGGGGCUGCUACAGGGAGGUUAGCUGCACCUGAGGCCAGGCUGCCGGGGCCCAUGGUGGACAGCAGGCUGCCAGCUGCUGCAAGUUGUUAUUUUAACGUCCACAUAACAAACCACCAGAGGUAUUUAGCAUGAAAAAUAACACAAAGCGGGUUAAUUUCUUCAGAAGGUAAUUCUGUCUGGAGGAGGAGACAGUGAAUGGCGGACUGAAAGACUGGAGGCAGGAAAAGCAGGUCGGCACAGCUUUGAGAAAAAGAGGAGCUCUCAGAUCAGAGUUCAGGCAGACAUCGACCUAGCUGGGGGCU